rnacentral:rRNA from 1 species
UACGAAGGGGGCUAGCGUUGCUCGGAAUGACUGGGCGUAAAGGGCGUGUAGGCGGUUUUGACAGUCAGAUGUGAAAUCUCCAGGCUUAACCUGGGAGCUGCAUUUGAAACGUCAAGACUAGAGUGUGAGAGAGGGUUGUGGAAUUUCCAGUGUAGAGGUGAAAUUCGUAGAGAUGGGGAGGAACACCGGUGGCGAAGGCGCCAACCUGGCUGACUACUGACGCUGAGGCGCGAAAGCGUGGGGAGCAAACAGG